rnacentral:rRNA from 1 species
UACGUAGGUCCCGAGCGUUGUCCGGAUUUAUUGGGCGUAAAGCGAGCGCAGGCGGUUAGAUAAGUCUGAAGUUAAAGGCUGUGGCUUAACCAUAGUACGCUUUGGAAACUGUUUAACUUGAGUGCAAGAGGGGAGAGUGGAAUUCCAUGUGUAGCGGUGAAAUGCGUAGAUAUAUGGAGGAACACCGGUGGCGAAAGCGGCUCUCUGGCUUGUAACUGACGCUGAGGCCUACGAAAGGCGUGGGGAGCAAACAGGAUUCAGAUACCCGGU